GAUGAACGCUGGCGGCGUGCCUAAUACAUGCAAGUCGAGCGAACGGACGAGAAGCUUGCUUCUCUGAUGUUAGCGGCGGACGGGUGAGUAACACGUGGAUAACCUACCUAUAAGACUGGGAUAACUUCGGGAAACCGGAGCUAAUACCGGAUGAUAUUUUGAACCGCAUGGUUCAAAAGUGAAAGACGGUCUUGCUGUCACUUAUAGAUGGAUCCGCGCUGCAUUAGCUAGUUGGUAAGGUAACGGCUUACCAAGGCAACGAUGCAUAGCCGACCUGAGAGGGUGAUCGGCCACACUGGAACUGAGACACGGUCCAGACUCCUCGGGAGGCAGCAGUAGGGAAUCUUCCGCAAUGGGCGAAAGCCUGACGGAGCAACGCCGCGUGAGUGAUGAAGGUCUUCGGAUCGUAAAACUCUGUUAUUAGGGAAGAACAUAUGUGUAAGUAACUGUGCACAUCUUGACGGUACCUAAUCAGAAAGCCACGGCUAACUACGUG
rnacentral:rRNA from 1 species